rnacentral:sRNA from 1 species
AAUGAAACUACUACAGUGUGGCUAGUUCAUAACACUGUUUGUCGAAUGGUAUUUAUUACUUUAUUGUGAUAAUUCCCAUUCCAGUUCAAGAAUAUGAAAUGCAACAUGACGUUAACAUUGUUAACGUUACUGAAUGAUACUGAAUAUAUUACCACUAUUUGAAUGUACUCAAUGAAUAUGAGAUUGAUUCAAAUAGGGACAUGUAUGGUAUUGUAUAUUCAAUGUAUCAUUUAUAUAU